ACCGUGGGAUCAAUUGGUGUGAUCAGCCUGCUGAUAGCUGUACUGAUCCUUACCAAGAGGAUGAUGACGAACAACAAGAGGAUGUUACCACACCACAAGAACCUGCUAGAAAGAGUGGAGACCCUGAUGGAGUCUAUCAAUCCCUCAAUCCAUUGACAGCAGAUACAGACCAGGUCUACAGCACUAUUGGAUCAACUAACUGAGAGGAAGCAAAGCAGAGAGCUGAGAUGUCAUCUGAGGCCUACACUACCACAACUGAACUUGACAAAGGUGGUCGUGCUAAGAGGUCCCACGAAGCUGGUUAUCAUGAUGAAGAGUUGACCAAGACUUACCCUGAGUGUUCACAUGAACGAGGGGGAGUACAUAUGACCUAUCACAGACGUGAACAGUCUGCUGUCAGCACAAUUUCCUGUUAACAGUAUGUCAGGUUACAGAUCAAAAGUUACCAAAUAAACCAGUUCAGGUGCCCAGGAGUUCAUGUUUUAUUGCUGUGGCAUUAAAAGAGGAAUCCAUAUUCUUCUGUUUUUACUGGUGUUGUUUCAAAGUUCAACUUUUGUUACUGUGCCAACUCUAAAAGUAACUGUCCAGUGAUUAUAAUGAGCCACAGUUAUAGAACCAGUUGUUAUUAUCACUUCAAAAUGAGCAAAUGAAACAUGAGAUUUAAAAUGAAUAAAUAAAGAUAACUUGACUCACUGUUUCUUUGUGAAAAAUUAAACUAGUAAAUCAUAUAUUUCUGUAGUUUCUACUUUUUAAAUGCAUGUUGUAGACUCUGUGCAUGCAUCAUUGUGUAGGCACCUCUUGAUCAAUUAAAUGAACACACACAUAUGGGUCUUAUUUUGAGUGUAUGGACGUCUUGCAUGGAAAAUGUACACAGAGGAGAGGCGAUGCUGUUUUGUGGUUGCUGUAACUAACCUGCCUCACUGUGGUUAAGCAGAAUGAGUGCUGUGCUGUGAUGAGGGUCUGAACUGUCACAGUUAUUCACAUACAGCGUGUCCUUUAAGUAUUCUACUUUAUUUAUUUCAUGUUUAAACUCUCAAUAAAGGAAUAUUUGACUAUU